rnacentral:tRNA from 1 species
GGAAGUGUCUGGGCCCUGGUGGGCCUCCUGGACUUCAAAUCCAGUGGCGGGCUGAUAAGGGCCCGUGGCGGGUUCGAUUCCCGUACACUUCCGCCA